rnacentral:rRNA from 1 species
UAAGAUAGCGGAAUCCCGAGUAGGGCGGGACACGAGAAAUCCUGCCUGAAUUCGCCAGGACCCCCUGGCAAGGCUAAAUACUCCCGAGAGACCGAUAGUGAACCAGUACCGCGAGGGAAAGGUGAAAAGUACCCCGAGCAGGGGGGUGAAAUAGACCCUGAACCCGCGCGCCUACAAGCGGUCGGAGCCGAGUGAUUCGGUGACGGCGUGCCUUUUGCAUAAUGAGCCUACGAGUUAGUCGUCACCAGCGAGGUUAAGGGCUUCAGGCCCGUUAGCCGAAGUGAAAGCGAGCCUUAACAGGGCGACGAGUUGGUGGCGCUAGACGCGAAACCUUGUGAUCUACCCACGAGCAGGUUGAAGUCGCGGUAACGCGUGAUGGAGGACCGAACCGGUAAACGUUGAAAAGUUUUCGGAUGACUCGCGGGUAGGGGUGAAAGGCCAAUCAAACUGGGAAAUAGCUCGUACUCUCCGAAAUGCAUUUCGGUGCAGCCUGUGAUGUUCUGUUCCAGAGGUAGAGCUACUGGUUGGACGCGAGGGCUUCACCGCCUAUCAAAUCCGGAUAAACUCCGAAUGCUGGAACACGAAAUCAUGGAGUGAGCCCGCGGGUGCUAAGGUCCGCGGACGAGAGGGAAAGAACCCGGACCACCGGCUAAGGUCCCGGAUGGACAGUUAAGUUGAUCAAACGAGGUGGGAUCGCGGAGACAGCUAGGAUGUUGGCUUGGAAGCAGCCAUUCAUUUAAAGAGUGCGUAACAGCUCACUAGUCGAGCGAUCCCGCGUGGAUAAUACACGGGCAUGAAACUGUCAACCGAAGCCGUGGGGUCAGUGUUGAACUGACCGGUAGGAGAGCAUUCCUGCCAGCGUCGAAGGUCACCCGCGAGAGUGACUGGAGCGGCAUGAAAAGCAAAUGUAGGCAUAAGUAACGAUAAUGGGGGCGAGAACCCCCCACGCCGCAAGACCAAGGAUUCCCCGGCAAUGUCAAUCAGCCGGGGGUCAGCCGGCCUCUAAGGCUAACCCGAAUGGGGACGCCGACGAGAAACGGGUUAACAUUCCCGUGCUUCUCGUCACCGUGACGCGGUGACGGGGUGAUGAAUGGACCGCGCGCUGACGGAAUAGCGCGUUGAAGGCCGUACCCGAUGACGGUGGUAGUCAAGCACGCCACCGGAGGCGAACGCCGAUAGUACCUCGAGGCCUCGGCCGAGGGGAUAGCGUCCAGGCAAUUUACCCCCGAGAAAACCCGCUAAACUUCAAGUGACGAGGAACCGUACUGUAAACGGACACACGUGGUCGGGUAGAACAUACCAAGGCGCUCGAGUGAUUCAUGGUCAAGGAACUAGGCAAAAUAGUCCUGUAACCUCGGGAAAAAGGACGCUCUAGUGAUAGAGCCGCAGAGUAAUGGCCCAGGCGACUGUUUACCAAAAACACAUGGCUAUGCCAAAUCGAAAGAUGACGUAUAUGGCCUGACACCUGCCCGGUGCCGGAAGGUUAAGAGGAGAGCUCAGGGGUGACCCGAAGGUUCGAAUUGAAGCCCCGGUAAACGGCGGCCGUAACUAUAACGGUCCUAAGGUAGCGAAAUUCCUUGUCGGGUAAGUUCCGACCUGCACGAAUGGUGUAACGAUCUGGGCACUGUCUCGACCAUGAGCUCGGUGAAAUUGUAGUUCCGGUGAAGAUGCCGGGUACCCGCAACGGGACGGAAAGACCCCGUGAACCUUUACUGCAGCUUCGCGUUGUUCCCGGGCACGGGACGUGUAGGAUAGGUCGGAGGCAAUGAAGCGGUUUCGCCAGGAAUCGUGGAGCCAUCGUUGAAAUACGACCCUUCUCUUGUCUGGGAUCUAACCCGUUUAACGGGGACACCGCGUGGUGGGUAGUUUGACUGGGGUGGUCGCCUCCAAAAGCGUAACGGAGGCUUCCAAAGGUACCCUCGGGUUGGUUGGUAAUCAACCUUCGAGUGCAAUGGCACAAGGGUGCUUGACCGGGAGACUCACAAGUCGAUCGGGUGCGAAAGCAGGGCAUAGUGAUCCGGUGAUCCCGCGUGGAAGGGUCAUCGCUCAAAGGAUAAAAGGUACUCCGGGGAU